GACGAACCGUGCGAACGUUGUUCGGAAUCACUGGGCUUAAAGGGCGCGUAGGCGGCUUGCCAAGUCAGUGGUGAAAUCCUCCGGCUUAACCGGAGAAGUGCCGUUGAUACUGGCGAGCUUGAGGGAGGUAGGGGCAGCUGGAACUUCUGGUGGAGCGGUGAAAUGCGUUGAUAUCAGAAGGAACGCCGGUGGCGAAAGCGAGCUGCUGGAUCUCUACUGACGCUGAGGCGCGAAAGCUAGGGGAGCAAACGGG
rnacentral:rRNA from 1 species